GACGAACGCUGGCGGCGCGCUUAACACAUGCAAGUCGAGCGAAGCGGCGGACGGGUGAGUAACACGUGAGUAACCUGCCUUAGACAUUGGGAUAGCCUCGGGAAACCGGGAUUAAUACCAAAUGGUCUAAGAUGGACUCGCGUCCCAUUAGAUGGUUGGUGAGGUAACGGCCCACCAAGGCGACGAUGGGUAGUCGGCCAGAGAGGGUGAGCGGCCACAUUGGAACUGAGAAGCGGUCCAAACUCUACGGGAGGCAGCAGUGGGGAAUAUUGCACAAUGGAGUGAACUAUGAUGCAGCGACGCCGCGUGAACGAAGAAGGCUGUCGAGUCGUAAAGUUCUUUUAUAUGGGAGGCGGUACCCUAAGAAAAAGCCCCGGCUAACUACGUGCCAGCAGCCGCGGUAAUUU
rnacentral:rRNA from 1 species